GACGAACGCUGGCGGCGUGCUUAACACAUGCAAGUCGAACGGAAAGGCCCUGCUUUUGUGGGGUGCUCGAGUGGCGAACGGGUGAGUAACACGAGAGUAACCUGCCCUUGACUUUGGGAUAACUUAAGGACACUGGGGCUAAUACCGGAUAGGAGCUCCUGCUGCAUGGUGGGGGUUGGAAAGUUUCGGCGGUUGGGGCUGGACUCGCGGCUGAUCAGCUUGUUGGUGGGGUAGUGGCUUACCAAGGCUUUGAAGGGUAGCCGGCCUGAGAGGGUGACCGGCCACAUUGGGACUGAGAUACGGCGCAGACGCCUACGGGAGGCAGCAGUGGGGAAUAUUGCACAACGGGCGGAAGCCGGAUGCAGCAACGCCGCGUGCGGGAUGACGGCCUUCGGGUUGUAAACCGCUUUCGCCUGGGACGAAGCGUGAGUGACGGUAAUGGGUAAAGAAGCACCGGCUAACUACGUG
rnacentral:rRNA from 1 species